rnacentral:rRNA from 1 species
GUUAUGCUAUCGGNGUUCGAGUAAGCCAUGCGAGUCUAAGGUUUCUUUCGGGAAACCUUGGCGGACUGCUCAGUAACACGUGGAUAACCUACCCUUAGGACUGGGAUAACCCCGGGAAACUGGGGAUAAUACCGGAUAGAUCAGGGAUGCUGGAAUGCACCUUGAUCCAAAGCUCCGGCGCCUAUGGAUGGGUCGCGGCCUAUCAGGUUGUAGUGGGUGUAAAGUACCUAAUAGCCGACGACGGGUACGGGUUGUGAGAGCAAGAGCCCGGAGAUGGAUUCUGAGACACGAAUCCAGCCCUACGGGGUGCAGCAGGCGCGAAACCUUUACAAUGUGCGAAAGCAUGAUAAGGGGACUCCGAGUGCCAGCAUCUAAUGCUGGCUGUCCUUGUGCCUAAAAAGCACAAGAUAGCAAGGGCCGGGUAAGACCGGUGCCAGCCGCCGCGGUAACACCGGCGGCCCGAGUGGUAGCCGCUAUUAUUGGGUCUAAAGGGUCCGUACCCGGUUCGGUAAGUCCUCUGGGAAAUCUGGUUGCUUAACAAUCAGACUGCCAAGGGAUACUGCUGACUUGAGACCGGGAGAGGUAAGAGGUACUUCAGGGGUAGGAGUGAAAUCUUGUGAUCCCUGGGGGACCAUCUGUGGCGAAGGCGUCUUACCAGAACGGGUCUGACGGUGAGGGACGAAAGCUGGGGGCGCAAACCGGAUUAGAUACCCGGGUAGUCCCAGCCGUAAACGAUGCUCGCUAUGUGUCAGGUACGGUGCGACCGUAUCUGGUGCCGUAGGGAAGCCGUGAAGCGAGCCACCUGGGAAGUACGGUCGCAAGACUGAAACUUAAAGGAAUUGGCGGGGGAGCACUACAACGGGUGGAGC